rnacentral:tRNA from 1 species
AAUUUAUGUAGUAUAACAAUUAUUUUUGACUUCCAAUCAAAAGAUCUAUCAAUAGUAUAAAU